GAAAAAACUCUCUGAAGAAGUGAAGACAGUUCUCUGGAAAUCUGUGCAGGUUCUGACUUUUAUACUAUGAGAACAUCUAGAUGUUAUGCAACUGGAGAUAGAUUACUGAGUUGUUUUCUACGUGAGUGCAGGCAAGGUUUGAAAUUGAUGAAGACUACCAUAGGGAUGCAGUGCUUAAGCAGAUGGGAGUGUUGUGGAGAUCAUCGAAGUCACGUCUUGUCACCCAAAUCAAUGAAUCCGAUAAUAACCAACAAAGGAUGAAGCUCAGACCGAAGAAUGUUCCUCCGGUUGAAUGGCGCAAAUUUGUGAAGUUGAAAACAAGCCAAGAAUUCAAGGUUGUGAGUGAUAGCUACAAGGAGAGAAGACGCAAACAGAUACCUCACACUUGUAGUCGGAAGGGAAUGGUUAGACUAGCAGAAGACAUGG